rnacentral:ncRNA from 1 species
ACGAUGGUCGGAAACCAUCGCCCGAAGAGAGGAG